ensembl:snRNA U6 U6 spliceosomal RNA
GUGCUUGCUUUGGCAAUACAUAUUCUAAAAUUGGAACAAUACAGAGAAGAUCAGCGUGUCCAUGUGCAAGAAUGACAUGCAAAUCUGUGAACAUGCUAUAUAUUUUU